UACGUAGGGUGCAAGCGUUGUCCGGAAUUAUUGGGCGUAAAGAGUUCGUAGGCGGUUUGUCGCGUCCGUUGUGAAAGCUUGGGGCUCAACCCCAGGUCUGCAGUGGAUACGGGCAGGCUAGAGUCCGGUAGGGGAGAACGGAAUUCCUGGUGUAGCGGUGAAAUGCGCAGAUAUCAGGAGGAACACCGGUGGCGAAGGCGGUUCUCUGGGCCUGUACUGACGCUGAGGAACGAAAGCGUGGGGAGCGAACAGG
rnacentral:rRNA from 1 species